CCUACGGGAGGCAGCAGUGAGGAAUAUUGGUCAAUGGCCGGGAGGCUGAACCAGCCAAGUCGCGUGAGGGAAGACGGCCCUACGGGUUGUAAACCUCUUUUGUCAGGGAGCAAGGUGCAGGUCGGGACCUGCUGUGAGAGUACCUGAAGAAAAAGCAUCGGCUAACUCCGUGCCAGCAGCCGCGGUAAUACGGAGGAUGCGAGCGUUAUCCGGAUUUAUUGGGUUUAAAGGGUGCGCAGGCGGAGGCACAAGUCAGCGGUAAAAUCGCGGGGCUCAACCCCGCUCCGCCGUUGAAACUGUGGCCCUUGAGUGCGCGAAGGGUAGGCGGAAUGCGUGGUGGAGCGGUGAAAUGCAUAGAUAUCACGCAGAACUCCGAUCGCGAAGGCAGCCUACCGGCGCGCAACUGACGCUCAUGCACGAAAGCGUGGGUAUCGAACAGGAUUAGAUACCCUGGUAGUC
rnacentral:rRNA from 1 species